rnacentral:rRNA from 1 species
GAUGAAUGCUAGCGGCAGGCUUAAUACAUGCAAGUCGAGGGGUAGCAAGAUUGUAGCAAUACUAUUGUUGACGACCGGCAAACGGGUGCGGAACACGUACACAACCUUCCUACAAGUGGGGAAUAGCCCAGAGAAAUUUGGAUUAAUACCCCGUAACAUAGCGAUGUGGCAUCACAUUGCUAUUAUAGCUUCGGCGCUUGUUGAUGGGUGUGCGGCUGAUUAGAUAGUUGGCGGGGUAACGGCCCACCAAGUCUACGAUCAGUAGCUGAUGUGAGAGCAUGAUCAGCCACACGGGCACUGAGACACGGGCCCGACUCCUACGGGAGGCAGCAGUAAGGAAUAUUGGACAAUGGACGCAAGUCUGAUCCAGCCAUGCCGCGUGAAGGAUUAAGGUCCUCUGGAUUGUAAACUUCUUUUAUAAGGGACGAAAAAAGGUCUUUCUAGAUCGUCUGACGGUACCUUAUGAAUAAGCACCGGCUAACUCCGUGCCAGCAGCCGCCGUAAGAC